rnacentral:rRNA from 1 species
UACGUAGGUGGCAAGCGUUGUCCGGAUUUACUGGGCGUAAAGAGCGCGCAGGCGGUCGAAUAAGUCGAAUGUGAAAGCCCCCCGGCUCAACUGGGGAGGGUCAUUCGAUACUGUUCGACUUGAAGGCAGGAGAGGGAAGCAGAAUUCCCGGUGUAGUGGUGAAAUGCGUAGAUAUCGGGAGGAAUACCAGUGGCGAAGGCGGCUUCCUGGCCUGUUCUGACACUGAGGAGCGAAAGCGUGGGGAGCGAUCCGG